UACAGAGGUCUCAAGCGUUGUUCGGAUUCAUUGGGCGUAAAGGGUGCGUAGGUGGCGGGGUAAGUCGGAUGUGAAAUCCCGGGGCUCAACCCCGGAACUGCAUUCGAUGCUGCCUUACUCGAGUACUGGAGAGGAGAUUGGAAUUUACGGUGUAGCAGUGAAAUGCGUAGAUUUCGUAAGGAAGACCAGUGGCGAAGGCGAAUCUCUGGACAGUUACUGACACUGAGGCACGAAGGCCAGGGGGGCAAACGGG
rnacentral:rRNA from 1 species